GAUGAACGCUGGCGGCGUGCCUAAUACAUGCAAGUCGAGCGAACAGACGAGGAGCUUGCUCCUCUGACGUUAGCGGCGGACGGGUGAGUAACACGUGGAUAAACUACCUAUAAGACUGGGAUAACUUCGGGAAACCGGAGCUAAUACCGGAUAAUAUAUUGAACCGCAUGGUUCAAUAGUGAAAGACGGUUUUGCUGUCACUUAUAGAUGGAUCCGCGCCGCAUUAGCUAGUUGGUAAGGUAACGGCUUACCAAGGCAACGAUGCGUAGCCGACCUGAGAGGGUGAUCGGCCACACUGGAACUGAGACACGUUCCAGACUCCUACGGGAGGCAGCAGUAGGGAAUCUUCCGCAAUGGGCGAAAGCUUGACGGAGCAACGCCGCGUGAGUGAUGAAGGUCUUCGGAUCGUAAAACUCUGUUAUUAGGGAAGAACAAAUGUGUAAGUAACUAUGCACGUCUUGACGGUACCUAAUCAGAAAGCCACGGCUAGCUACGUG
rnacentral:rRNA from 1 species